UUUGGGAACACAAGCGUUCAGUUGUGUCGACGCCAAGUCGAAGCACUGGUUCAACAUUGACGCCAGACACGUUGUCCUGUCUAGCACACCCAAUGCUGCCCAACCGGUUUAUCACAAGAUACGACGUGAACACCACCAUGAAGCCCCGACGUCUUUUGAACUUUCAAGGAAUGGUUGGGUGUGGUCAAGGGACUGGUGGAUUGCUCCAUCUCGUGUGGUUUCGCUGUCCCGUCCCUAGAAUCGAGUUAACGUGACCGAGGCCACUUCUGAGAGAUAAAUAUUCAGGAUGCCAGAUUUGUGGAACACAAUUAAGGCCAGUAGUCAAGAGCCAUGAUCAAGGAACAGCAGUUCCCAACGGAAUUGACCCUUUUCUUGUUGUAAUUCAUGCUGUUGGCUCAGAAUGGGUUGACACUAACCUGUUUUCGACCCUGAAAAUAAAACAUCGAACAUUGUUACUCUUUGUUAA